GCCCUGGUGGUGCAAUGGUUGAGUGAUCAGCUGCUAACUGAAAGGUUGGUGGUUCGAACCCACCCAGUGGCU
rnacentral:tRNA from 1 species